UGAGGAAGGAGAAAUAAUGUUUUCCAUUAAAUGAAAGCAACAUGACAAAUCCAAUAAAAGAAUCAUGGUUAGUACAAUUGAUCAAAUCCCAAUGUUUUAGCCUAGGAUAAUUUGCAUUCUGGAGGAAAGCCUUGGGGAAAUCUCUUAGCAUCUGUGCAAUAGUUGUAUAUCAUGUAGUUCUUCCUCACCCAUUGCAGCUUCUCUUGACUUGUUGAAUCAAGCUCCUCUGAGAGCCAAGAAUUUGUCCUGGAGGUUGAAGGUGAAGAAUUUGUGCCGCAGGAAGAUACCCCAUUUGACCAAACACAAGCAUUUGCAUUGAAAUUUCUAUAGGAAGCAGUGAAUGGAGCUUGACUCCAAUCUGUCUUCACUAGA
rnacentral:misc_RNA from 1 species